UAAAUAUUGCAUCUAUUUUCGGUUUUUCUUUAACUCCACUCAUAAGGUGCUACUAGACAAAAUUCAGUUAGAAAAUGGACUGAAUCGCAAAAUCGAAGACGACAGUAGGUAGUAGCCGUAUAUACAUGAACGAAGGAUAAUGGUGGCGCAGCUCCUGGUGGGUCCCAUCCCCAUCAGCGGCGGCAAUGUCAGCCCCGGUGCCGGUGGCUUCUAUUCUAAUUUCAGCCAUUUGUUUUCCCUACCAUGUCAUUUUCAGCGUAGAAGAAGAGGGAGAACCCGUACUCGCCGGUGGACACCACAAUCAACGUCAUCAUCGUGGUCGUCGUCGUCAUCAUCAUCAUCAUGGGCCAUGAUUAACGGCCAGCAGACCCACUACGGCGUGCUGGGCCUCUCACGCCAUGCCACCUCCUCCGAAAUCAAGAGGGCUUAUCGCCUUCUCGCUCGUAAGUAUCACCCUGAUGUUAGCAAAGAUUCUCAAGCUGAAGAGGUGUUCAAGAGUAUCCGUCAGGCAUAUGAGAUUCUAUCUAAUGAAGCAACCAGGACUCAGUAUGACCAAGAACUUAAAUUUCAAAAGGACACUGGCAGGAAAUACAGUGGAAAAUGGAGCUACAGCCCUGAAUUUGAAAAUGGAGUAAGGAUCUAUAAGUGGGCUGAAGUGAGGCAGAAAAUGCAACAGGAGAGACAUUGGGAACGCUAUCAUGUCAAUGAAGAAAGUUCGUCAUAUGGUAAAACUGAUGAAGCAACUGAAGAAGGAGAGGCAGUGCAAGAGAGAGGUUCCUUCAGUGAAGUGCUUAGAUCUGCCUUUGUAUCCCUGUUCUUGUUGCAGAUAUUUGGAUCCCGUUUAUCUCUCACUUUUAGUAGCCUGAUGGCCUUAUUUGACAGGAAGUUGGAUGCUGGAUAUAAGAUUGGUUAUGUAAUUGCAUGGGUUUUAGGUGGGAGAGGUGGUAUCUUGCUCACUUUGUGCCUGUCGUUUGCAAGUUGGGUUUGUGGAAAAACCAGCAGCAAUAUAGUUGCUCUGGUGGUGAUAGCCAUGUGGGUUGGCUCGAACCUUGCAAGAUUUGCACCACUUCCACAAGGUGCUCUGCUUACUCUCCUGUAUAUGUCUAUUAAGCUACAAGUUGAUUUGAACUAAAACCGCGGCUGUAACGCUAACGUGUUCCAUCUGCUUUUUUCUUUUAAUGGUUAAAGAAGGUGUUGUACAUAUGUUGUAUUAUUGACUACAAUCCAUUACAAUUGUGUAAACUGGUUCAUUGCAAAAGGAUGAAGAUGAGAAAUUCAUGUUCUUUUAGACCAGGAGUAUACUAUGGGCAGAUCUUUGUGGACUAAUAAAUCUCCAUUCUGUACCAAUAUUUUUGUUUUGUCAAAGUAGAUUUAAAAGAAAGGAGUUGGUGUGCUUGGUUGCACCAAUCAGUUGCCACUCAAUUUCCUCAAAAGUAGGUGCAAAUUUGAUCAUUCUUUUCUGGUAAAUGAAAAUUGACACUACAUUUGCAGAAUGGUAACUCAUAUUUUUUUCUCCGUAACCAAGCACAAUCAUCAACUCCUUCGUGCUUCCCCGC